GGCGCUAUAGCUAAGUGGUUACAGCGACAGAUUAGAAUAGGAAUGUCUCCAAUCAUCUGUUCCUCUUUGAGGGCGCAGGUUCGAAUCCUGCUGGCGUCG